UACGAAGGGGGCUAGCGUUGUUCGGAUUCAUUGGGCGUAAAGGGUGCGUAGGCGGCGCGGUAAGUCGGGUGUGAAAUCUUGGAGCUUAACUCCGAAACUGCAUUCGAUACUGCCGUGCUUGAGGACUGGAGAGGAGACUGGAAUUUACGGUGUAGCGGUGAAAUGCGUAGAUAUCGUAAGGAAGACCAGUGGCGAAGGCGGGUCUCUGGACAGUUCCUGACACUGAGACACGAAGGCCAGGGGAGCAAACGGG
rnacentral:rRNA from 1 species